GUUAUAUAAGGAACAUUUCGUUCUACCGAAGAAUAUCACCCGCUCGGUGGAAGAUCUUCCCUUUGUCGU
rnacentral:pre_miRNA from 1 species